rnacentral:rRNA from 1 species
AGAGUUUGAUCCUGGCUCAGAACUAACGCUGGUGGCGUGCCUAACACAUGCAAGUCGAACGAGAAAUUCGCUUUCGGGCGGAGAGUAAAGUGGCGAACGGGUGAGUAAUGCGUAAGUAAUCUACCCUCAAAAUUGGGAUAACUAGCCGAAAGGCGAGCUAAUACCGAAUAAUAUUCUUUUGACUUAGGUUGAAGGAAUCAAAGGUGGGUUUCCUUUGGAAAUUUUCCGUUUGGGGAUGAGCUUGCGUACCAUUAGCUUGUUGGUGGGGUAAUGGCCUACCAAGGCAACGAUGGUUAGCUGGUCUGAGAGGACGAUCAGCCACACUGGAACUGAGACACGGUCCAGACUCCUACGGGAGGCAGCAGUGAGGAAUUUUGCGCAAUGGGGGAAACCCUGACGCAGCGACGUCACGUGAGUGAUUAAGGCUUUCGAGUCGUAAAACUCUGUCAGGUGGAAAGAAGGGAGUAAUUUUAUUAUUCCUUGACGGUACCACCAAAGGAAGCACCGGCUAACUCCGUGCCAGCAGCCGCGGUAAUACGGAGGGUGCAAGCGUUGUUCGGAUUUAUUGGGCGUAAAGAGCGUGUAGGUGGUUUAAUAAGUCAAAUGUGAAAGUCCUUGGCUCAACCAAGGAAGGUCAUUCGAUACUAUUUUACUUGAGUACGGGAGAGGAAAGUGGAAUUCCCAGUGUAGAGGUGAAAUUCGUAGAUAUUGGGAGGAACACCGGUGGCGAAGGCGGCUUUCUGGACCGAUACUGACACUGAGACGCGAAAGCGUGGGGAGCAAACAGGAUUAGAGACCCUGGUAGUCCACGCCGUAAACGAUGGGCACUAGGUGUAGAGGGUAUUGACCCCUUCUGUGCCGCAGCUAACGCAUUAAGUGCCCCGCCUGGGGAGUACGGUCGCAAGGCUAAAACUCAAAGGAAUUGACGGGGGCCCGCACAAGCGGUGGAGCAUGUGGUUUAAUUCGAUGCAACGCGAAGAACCUUACCUGGGUUUGACAUCCUUUGACAAUCUUGGAAACAAGACUUUCUCUUCGGAGACAAAGUGACAGGUGCUGCAUGGCUGUCGUCAGCUCGUGUCGUGAGAUGUUGGGUUAAGUCCCGCAACGAGCGCAACCCUCGUUCUUAGUUGCCAUUAUUAAUUUAGGUACUCUAGGGAUACUGCCGGUGUUAAACCGGAGGAAGGUGGGGAUGACGUCAAGUCCUCAUGGCCUUUAUAUCCAGGGCUACACACGUGCUACAAUGGGCUGUACAAAGGGUCGCGAUCCCGCAAGGGAUAGCCAAUCCCAAAAAGCAGUUCUCAGUUCGGAUUGGAGUCUGCAACUCGACUCCAUGAAGUUGGAAUCGCUAGUAAUCGUGGAUCAGCAUGCCACGGUGAAUACGUUCCCGGGCCUUGUACACACCGCCCGUCACACCAUGAAAUCCGGUUGCACCAGAAGUCGUUAGGUUAACCCGCUUCGGCGGGAGACAGACGCUAAGGUACGGUUGGUAAUUGGGGUGAAGUCGUAACAAGGUA